GAAGCGGGCAACGGGACGGCCGCCAUCUUGUAGGGCGCCCUUCCUUGCUGUCGAUCACCCCACUGAAGCUCAGGUUCCUCAGGCUACCAAGAUCAAGGGUCAUUGUCUCACAGAGCGUUGUGGUGGGAAGCAGCAGUGAACAGGAAAAGAACAUAAAGUUGGAGAGUGGAGCUUAGUGUCCUGCACCUGGGAGGAGGGAUGGCAGGACGUCUUCAAGAGAGGGAGAGCGAGCACAGGCAGACAGAGAGGCAG